rnacentral:lncRNA from 1 species
CGCGUUAUAAACACUUGCAACGUGACCUUUCCAUGCUCCAACAGCCUUCCAUUCUCAAGCUUCCUUUGAUUGGUCCAACUUGUCUCUUCCUCUACAAAGUCAAAUAAAAACCAAGCACAACUGGUCAGCGUUCAAGAGGCAAAUUUUGAAGUACCUGCUAAGCAUUAAUAGCAAACCAACGAUUAAACUUUGCCAAAUGAUCUUUACUUCAUUCCCAGCU